rnacentral:rRNA from 1 species
AUUGAACGCUGGCGGCAGGCCUAACACAUGCAAGUCGAGCGGAUGACGGGAGCUUGCUCCUUGAUUCAGCGGCGGACGGGUGAGUAAUGCCUAGGAAUCUGCCUGGUAGUGGGGGACAACGUUUCGAAAGGAACGUUAAUACCGCAUACGUCCUACGGGAGAAAGCAGGGGACCUUCGGGCCUUGCGCUAUCAGAUGAGCCUAGGUCGGAUUAGCUAGUAGGUGAGGUAAUGGCUCACCUAGGCGACGAUCCGUAACUGGUCUGAGAGGAUGAUCAGUCACACUGGAACUGAGACACGGUCCAGACUCCUACGGGAGGCAGCAGUGGGGAAUAUUGGACAAUGGGCGAAAGCCUGAUCCAGCCAUGCCGCGUGUGUGAAGAAGGUCUUCGGAUUGUAAAGCACUUUAAGUUGGGAGGAAGGGCAGUAAGCGAAUACCUUGCUGUUUUGACGUUACCGACAGAAUAAGCACCGGCUAACUCUGUGCCAGCCGCCGCAGUAAGAC